rnacentral:rRNA from 1 species
AUUGAACGCUGGCGGCAUGCUUUACACAUGCAAGUCGAACGGUAACAGCACUUCGGUGGCUGACGAGUGGCGAACGGGUGAGUAAUACAUCGGAACGUGCCUAGUAGUGGGGGAUAACUACUCGAAAGAGUAGCUAAUACCGCAUGAGAUCUAAGGAUGAAAGCAGGGGACCUUCGGGCCUUGCGCUACUAGAGCGGCUGAUGGCAGAUUAGGUAGUUGGUGGGAUAAAAGCUUACCAAGUCGACGAUCUGUAGCUGGUCUGAGAGGACGACCAGCCACACUGGGACUGAGACACGGCCCAGACUCCUACGGGAGGCAGCAGUGGGGAAUUUUGGACAAUGGGCGCAAGCCUGAUCCAGCAAUGCCGCGUGCAGGAUGAAGGCCUUCGGGUUGUAAACUGCUUUUGUACGGAACGAAAAGCCCUCUUCUAAUACAGGAGGGUCAUGACGGUACCGUAAGAAUAAGCACCGGCUAACUACGUG